GUUGCUGACUCAUCCAUUCUAGAACACCUUCAAUUGAUGCUUAUGACUAGCUCUUCACUGUUAAUUCUUCCAUCAAUUUUGCCACCUCAACUUAUAAAACUUCAAUUUUAGACCUCAACUUCUCCAUUUUGUAUCUGGAUUGGUCACUCAAUGUCGCUUUCUCUUUCAUCAAUAAUUUUGCCUUGUUUCCUUCUGCUUGCAACUAGCAUUUGAGUUUCUCGCAUUCCAAAUCGCAUGUCUUGUAAUUCUAGAUCAAUUCGUCUUAUUGUCCUUCUAUAAUUUGUAAGAUGUGUUCUUUUUGUUUUCAUCCAAGAGUCAUAUUGGUGAACCAAUUUCAGCUCCAAUACUAGUUUGGAUUCCCCAAUUGCUUUUGUAGUUUGUUCUUGCUCUUCAAUUCUUCGGUAUUGCUUUGAUAUCACCUUC
rnacentral:lncRNA from 1 species